UGCCAGCUGUAGGAUGUUGGUACUUCCUAUCAGCUUGUCCAAUGCCUUCAGGUAUUGUAGCGGGUCGAAGUCGGGGCAAUGUUCCAGAUAAACAUACUGUUCUCUGGUGAUUGUGGACAGCUGGGCCCUGGAUUGCGCGAUUCUCUGUCGCGUGGCUUUGAUCUGCUGUGCAAGCGGUGGACGCUUCACAGGAGUCUUGUUGUAUGAAGGGUUGGCACUCUUCUGGGUCAUGUUGUUGGACUGCGCCGGUGAGGAUCGCGGAUGAACCGAAGUCCUCUGCCUCUUUCUGCUAACCAUGGUGAAGGGAUUAGGGUUAGGCGAGGCAUCUUGGUCAUCCAUCACGUCCGCCCAGUUGACAGCGCGGGGGGAUCAGUGGUGGGGGGUACAGCUGGACGUCGUCCACCAACAGCUGUGGCUUGACACUGCCCUUUGGGAAAGUGGCGUCAUCUUGUUGUCCACUUUGUUUUUUAGUAUUUGCUGAUUCCUCAGCCGCAUGCUGGUCAAUUUGAUAUAUUAUUAUAUCACCCUGUAGAGGGUUUUCAGGGCUUUCAGCCAGUAUAUUAUAACUAUUAUGGCAUUCCAUAAUGUCGUUGCUGGCAUACUCGAUUAUCCCCUGAUUCAUCCAUUCUUCAAAGAUUUGCCCAUACUCUUUCAUGUCUCCAACUUCUUCAAGUUUUCUUCUUACAGAGCUUAGUUGGUUUUCGGCUUGGUCUCUAUUCGUAGGAAUCCUUUCCUUGUCUUGCACCCAGGGUAGAGCUACCUCAUAGCGCCCCUCAAUAUCUCGCAUUGUGGUGUGUGCAAAAUGUUCCUCCAUUUUAGCUUGUAACGACUGGGUCUUCUUCUCAACCUCCGCAUCAGAGACUCCAAUUGCAUCUAAUUUCCACAAGUUUUCUAAAUCCAAAGAUAAAAAUGUGGACACGCAAAGGGAGCUGGUGUCAUCUCUCACCUCCAUCGGGGGAAUCUUUCCCAACACAGUCCAUCCUAGUUUGGUAUGGAUUGCCACAAGUCCAGAUGAAAUUCUUCUCUGAUCGUCAGUUAGCAAUCUUCCAGUGAUGUCCGCACCUAUAAGGACUUCUAUACGGUCUCUCAUCAAAUCAGACAUGUUAAGUUCUUCACUCCCUUCUAAAAAUGAUCUAGGACACACCAGAGGUAUGCAGAUAAGGGGUUGACCUAGUGCUUCAAACUCGCAGCGAUAAGAAUUAUUAAUGUCCGAUAAAUGAAUGGUAUAGAACUCAUGUUCAACUACGUCGGUACUCGAUCCUUCAAACAAGGAAUGCCGGAAGAACUCUCUCCUAGAUUGUUCGUAUUCCAUUUCCAUUGCUGUGCUAUGUAAAAUAUAUUAUCUUUGGGAUCCGGUGUCUAUUAUAGCCCGUGUCAUCUUCUCCGUUCUGUUUCCUUUGAGGGUCACUCUCAAAGUAGAUAACAAGACGUCUGGGGAGGUUGAUAAAUUGGUGGGAGUUUCAUCUUUCACCGUUGGAGACUUAGAAAACCUACCUUGAUCUAAAAUCCGUUUUGUGCAUAUGACAUCCAGGUGGGAAGACAGCCUUGAACUCCUUCUUUUCCGAAAAUAAUAAUGAUUAUGUAUGUGGGGAUGGAUGAUGGUGGUGGGCGCAGUCUUGGUCGAGUGACAAGGGUUCCACAGGGGAAGAACAACACAACUCUUUUGGAUGGGUUUGAAUAGGACCUGCGAGGGAGGGAAGAAAGUUUGGCGGAGGCGGCUGUCCUUUCACAUCUAUGGAGCGUACACUACCUUUAUUGGAGCCUAUGUUGAGCACACCUAGCUCGUAGCACGGUCACCUACGUUCUGCUUUUUUCUUUUCCGAGAUAUUCGUCAUCGACUAUCACAGACUUCUCAUUGACUGAGAUCCUCACACGUGCGCUCUGGGGAUUCGUUACUAGUUUGUCCUCCUUAAAAGGUGAUCGGCUCUGAACCUCCAUUGCCGUCAUGAUUGCAAUCUUCCAGGAAGAAGAAGGCCUUUGAGAUUAAGUUUUAUGGAUCCAGGGCAGUCUCCUUUACUUCCUGGAUGAUGCAAUCCUGUAACUUUGUUUCUUUCCAUCUCGCGAGGCCUAAAGUUUAUUAAACCUUUAGAUGAUAUAUGGUAUAUAGAUCGUGGUGGGGGUACAUAAUCCUAUAUACAGAUUAUCACAGAUGCAUCCCCUACAUGUGAGAAAAUUAAAGAGGGGUAGUCUGAAUUGAAUUCUGUGGAAGAAAAAGUAAUUUUGUGAGGAAAAAUUAAUUAGGGAGCAAUGUGUCAAAAAAUGGAAUCAAAAGAAAUAAAAAUGAUUUGUGCUGGUGGGAAAAAUUGUUGAGUGAUUGAGAAAAAAAAAAAAGAAAAUGGUGCCUAUACAAUUAUUCAAACUUGUUGUAUGGAAAACUACAUCAAGGGAAUUUUCUGUUAGGGCCUUGGGAAAUCAAAGAAAUAAUACUAAAAUAAAAAUAAAUUUUAAAAAUGUUUUAAAAUAGCGCGCUGGGGAUAAAGAUUUGUUAUAAACCUUUUGAGUGGUCGUUCCUUCCUUUCUGAAGAAAGGUAAGCUCGAAAGCUUUCUUUCUUUUUGUCUUUUCACCUAACUUUGAAGUGGUAAUGUGCAUGCUUUUGUUCGUAUUAGGCCUUUAGAUCUGUAUUUCUGUGUUGGGCGUGAGUGUUGGAUGUUGUAUUGUUAUUAUUUAAUGUAUUAAUUAAACAUUACUCACCAGAUGAAAUUAUUUUAUUUCAAUUAUAUAUAUUUAAAAGGUUACAUUUAUUUUAUUUUGCUAUUUAUUUAUACCUUUAAAUCCAAUGUUUACGCUUCAUGCCUUCUAUGAUGAUGAUAUCUCUAUCUUUUAACACACAGAAUACUACAUUCCCUCCUUCCUUUAGAUGAAAGGAAUCAUGUCUUUAUAUCUUGAUGAUGGCUUGAUGACUCUUCCACUCCUGGCGGUUCCUUGGUAGUCGGCAAGGGUGGAGAAACCUCUGAUGGCAACUGGUGAAGAGUCUCGGCAUCAAGCCUAUCUAAAACAACUGGGUCAAAUGUAGACCCUGUUCUACUUGAACUUGGUUGGUUUAAAGAAGUGUCCUUGUCUUGGUUUGAGGAAUUAUUAUCUGGCAUUUGUUCAUCCGAAGAGUUAGGGUGUUCAAUUCUUGCUGAAUCUUGAACUAAGAUUUUCCUGGCUCCAUAUUGAAUUAUUUGAUGUUGGUUUCAUCUUCUGUAUCAUUAACAAGUGAGCUUAAUUUAGUCUUGAUUUCUCUUGAAAAUAAUAGGAAUGCUGGAGUCUUUCCUGUAGAUCUGUUUGUAGUAGUUCGGUAAGACAUUAAAAUUCUGGAUAAAUCUUCUUUCCAAUCUUUCCCUUCUUCAGAACUUGAAUUAAAUUGUUUCUUUAGAAAUCUAUGGAAUCUUUCUAUCUUCCCAUUACUUUUUGGGUAAUAUAGGGUGAGGCUUUGAUGUGCCCGAUUCCACAUUCUUUUAAAAAUAUUUCCAUUGAUGUACUUACAAACUGUAAGCCAUUAUCAGUUACAACUUCAUGUGGAUAACCAUGUCUUGCAAAAAGCUCAAUCAAUUUUUUAAUAAUUGUCUUGUUGGAAAUGUCUUCUAUUAUCAUUGCUCCAGUUUAUGAAGAAUAGUAGUUGAUCACUGUUAAAACAUAAUGAUGGCCAAUUGGACCAACUAUGUCAAUUCCAAGUUUCAUCCAAGGUUUUGAUGGUAACGGAACUAUUGCAAUGGUUGAUUCCUUACACAAAUUGGACAGUUUCUUAUCAAAUUUUCAAUGUCUAAGUCCAUGUUUAUCCAAAAAUAUUUUUCUCUUAACAGUUGUUUGGUUCUUGUCAUUCCUUGAUGUGUUUCAUGUGCAAUUCUUAAGACUCUCUUUAUUAGUUUUGACGGUAGCAAAAUUCUACUUCCUUUUAAGAUAAGAAUUUCAAAAAUUGAGAGUUCAUCUUCAAACUUAUAAAAACAUUUGAAUUCUUCAUUCAAAGGAUAUGGCCAAACUCCCUUUGCAAAUUAAUUUGCACUUAUUCCUGUUAAUCCUAAUGCCUACUUUGUCAAAUCUUUGUAAGACUUUUCUAAGCCUUCCUUCUAGUUCUUGUCUAUGGCGUAAACUACGACAUCGUCCAAGUAACAAAUUACACCUUUCAAAUCCAUUCCUUUCUGUUAUGCCUCUGGAGCACUUGAUAGACCAAAAGGAACUUUACAAAAUCUGUAACAACCACGGUGCAUGAUGAAAGCUGUAAAGGGUCUUGAUUGAGGGUCUAAGUCAAGACGUUACACUGUGCACCUGUGUCUAGUUUCAUGUUUACCUUUCUGCCUUUAAUUUUGACUUCCUCAUACCAAUCUUCGGUCAGGUUGGUGUUUUCAACUGAUUGGAUUACAAAUUCUUGAAUCGUUUCAGGUUCUGGUGACCCAACAAUUUGUCUGACUUUGCAUGAAUUUGUGUUCCGGGAUCUGCAAAGAUUUGCAAAAUGGUUGAGUUUCUUACAUUUGUUGCAUCUCUUUUGAUAUGCCGGACAUUGGUUGAUUUUGUGGGAUCUACCACAAUUUCUGCAGUUUUCUAUUAUUUUGUGACUUUGGUUAGUGGUGUUUUCUAUCCUCAGCUCUUUUCUAUCUUUCCACUUCUUACUGUUCAUCUUUGUCACAGCAACUUGUUUGUCUGAGUCGGCUAGUACAUGUUUCAUUUGGUUUGUAGCACAUGCUAUGCAAAUUUGUGUGGCUUUUUCUAGAUUAAGGUCAGCCUCACUAAGAAGUCUUUCUCUUAUUUCAUUGUUGAUAAUUCACACAGCUAUUCGAUCUUUAAAUAGUUCAUCAGACAUGACAGCAUAUUUGCAGUUUGCUAUCUGUAAUUUGAUCCUAGCCAGAAAAUCAUUAUAUGAUUCAUCUUCUUUCUGUUUAAUCUGAUUGAAUUUGAAUCUUUCAAUUGUAGUGUUCAGCUUUGGAGAAAAAUAGUUGUUGAACUUGUCUUUUACAAUGCUCAGAUUAUUUUUAUCUGCAUUAUUUAAGUUGAAAGAUUUAAAAAUAUUUUGAGCCUCUCGUCCCAUUGCAGCCAUAAAGAUAGCAACUACUUAAUUGAGUAGCAAUUUCAUACCAUUCAAAGCUUUCAAGCCAAGAUUCCCAGCCCUCUUUGUUUAGUUCGUUUAGGCCUAUUUGUUUUGGAGGUCGAAUAGCAUUUUCCGCCAUGUUGUUGUUAUUGUAAUUUUUUUUUUUAACUACACUUAUUUCUUUUUGCUUGUAAAUUAAAUUAUUUUUGUAUAUAUUAUUAUGCAACUUGAAUCUUAUUUGAACAUGAAAAUUUGAGAUGUUCUGAAAUACUUUAAGAACUUGGAAAUUAAUAAAUUGUUCUUACCAAGUAGCGUUGUUUACAAGCGCCGCUGCCACCAUGUAACAUCCUCGUGUUUGUUGACGUUAAGCAGCAAGAAGUAUCUGGAAGAUUAAAAGAAAAGUCUUUAUUUCCUUAAUGCUAACUACGGACAUAAGUUUACAUAAAUAAGUUAAAACAAAGCAUCUAGGGCUGCGUAUCUUUUAUUUCAUAAUUAUAAAACAAGCUUUCGGGCUCAUACGCCCUUCUACAGGAGUUAAUGAACGACUAACCAUCUAAUCUGAGAUUACAUUUUAUAUAUGUAUCUAUUAUUUUGCAUAUUGGCCUGAUUGAAUAAUUAACAUAUUUAGAUUUACAUAUAGGUUGCAUAAUUUGGGAAAUAUUAAUUCUAAUUAAUAGGUGGUUAUAUGAAUUAUUUUUUAUGAAUAUUAUGUUGCAUGUUUUCGUUUUUUAUCAUAUUAUUUUGAAAUUUAACAGGGUUUUUUCUAUUGAUAAGUUUACAUAUGUCGAUAUAUUUUACAAUAAGUCAAAAAGGCAACUCCACAGAGUACCAUCAAUGACUUAUUUCGACUUAGAGCGCUAUGUCCCCCUAGGGACAUUUGCACUUUAGCGAAUGCUUUCUGGCAUUUGUCAUACCAGACCCACGUGACAACCUUUUGGAGAAGGUUGUUAAGUGCCAGACAGACAAAUAAACUUUAUUGAC